UACGAAGGGGGCUAGCGUUGUUCGGAAUCACUGGGCGUAAAGCGCACGUAGGCGGAUCUUUAAGUCAGAGGUGAAAUCCUGGAGCUCAACUCCAGAACUGCCUUUGAUACUGAAGAUCUUGAGUUCGGGAGAGGUGAGUGGAACUGCGAGUGUAGAGGUGAAAUUCGUAGAUAUUCGCAAGAACACCAGUGGCGAAGGCGGCUCACUGGCCCGAUACUGACGCUGAGGCACGAAAGCGUGGGGAGCAAACAGG
rnacentral:rRNA from 1 species